GAUUAGGUGACGACUCACGGGGGGGUUUAUUAAUUAUAUAGCAUUUAUUUUAAAAUGACAAUUCCUUCAUUUUUAAGUCUCAUAUGCCACUGACAACUGUUUGCAGUAGUAGUGAAAAGUAGUGCAGUAGUAUAAAACAGACAAGGAACAAAAACAUGUUCCUUUGUUGUAAUGCUUAUGUGACAAUUAUGUGCUUCAGAGAAUGGAUGGAUGGAGGGAGGCAAUCUAAAAGCGACAAAGAUAUGUACUGUGUGACGUUGUUGGGUGUGUGCGCUCAAAAGAAUUUAUGGUAUAACUGAACGGGUACAUUUCCAUGUGACCCCUCCCUUUUCUGAAGGGAAGCUAGACCUUCAAUUCUUUUAAGGAACCUCGCAAUACAAGUGACUUUUCUCAUCAAGAGCACCAGCUCGUCAUUUGGCCAUGACCCGUGUCAGAAGUUCACCAGUAAUUAGUGAGGCUGGAUGAUUACGGCCAAAAUCAAAACCACUGUGAUCAUGAUUUUUUUUUACCCUUAUUCCUCCUGUUGGGCAAAACAAAUGUAUUUCUACUGCACUACUUUUCACUACUACUGUCAGUGCCAUAUGAGACUUAAUAAUGAAGGAAUUGUCAUUUUAACAUAAAUGCUAUAUAAAUAAUGGAAAUAACCAAGAAUUAAAAAUUCACCAUGGGCAAACACUGCUUGAAUAUGCUAUUAUUAUUGUUCACAUCACUAUUCAAAACAAAUUCAGGCGAUGGCUGCUGAUUCA